ensembl:lncRNA
GGGAAUCUGCAGAGGAGAGUCCAGACAGAUGAACAGUUCCAGGAGAUUGUGGAUCCCAGCAGUGGAGUGGAGCAGCGGGGAGAGCACACAUCCCUGAGGUGUUUCCAGUGCUGACUGACCAGGUGCUGGAUGUAAUUUCACCCAGCCUCACCUGCUGCUUCCUGUCUAUCAGGAAGUUUGUAAUCCACUGACAGGUGGAGGCGGGCACAGUGAGCUGGUAACGUCCGAAUAAAAGAAGGCAGAAACAACCAGAGCAUCUUCACUACCUCCAGCUACAACAACAACAACGUUGCAUAGCCAUCAUGACUCCCUGUGAGGUAGACUAUGCCCUGCAAACGCUGAUGUCGAAAAUAAAGGCGAGGGAGUUGGAGUCGCAACGGGCGAUGAACGAACACGUUCUGACAAACAGACUCUUGAAACGUCAGCUUCAGGAACUUCAGAACCGACUAGAGUCAAAAGAGAGCCAGUUAGCUGAUGCCAACGAGACUAUCCGGGCUCUUCGGAGUGUGACUCAGAUCAUCGCUGGUCUGCAGGAUGAGAUCAGGGCCCUGCGCACACAGCUGCUGACGCCCCAAGUUCACAACCAUCGAUCAAUCACCACACAGAUCCGGAACCCAGCAGCCAUCUCCGGUCCAAUCAGAAUUCAGGCCCCUGAUGACCUGUCCCGUCGCACUCUCUCUCACCCCACUGAAGCUGGCCCCACAUGUUCAGACUACAUUUCCCAGAAUUCCUCCAAAGAGUGCACCCUUCUGAAAAUCAUCUCGGAAUGCGGAAGGACAACAGAAGUUGCAGUUCCACGUGUAAAAGAGGAGGAGCAGGAAGUUGAAAUGGAAGGAGGGGAUGAGGACGGAGAGAGUGAGGGAGGGGUCGCCGAGGAAACGGUGAAGUUGGAGAACGACGGCGAGUGGGACGGGUGUUUCGAAUAUAACCAUGCAGCGCACGGCAGUGGAGAACUACCAGACAAGGAGUCUUCGUAUACCUUCAGCAAUCAUGACUUGGCUGCCAUUGAAGCGGCAACAUCCGCGUCUUCUUCGCGUUCUUCCGAUUCUGCUGCAGUCUUGAAUGCGUCUAACUCUCGGAAAAGGCAGGUGCCGGACACCCCUCUAGAUAGCCAGUCAGCAAGUGUGAUGGUCCACACUGCGCUCUGUGAGAAGCUCGGGGGUGACAGGAUAUUUCAUGAGUAUAAUAAGAUGAAAUGUCUCUCAGAUGGAACAAGGAGGAAGAUGGUCAACAUACUAGUGGCAGACAUGAUGGAAAAUCAUGGAAGGCCCCCACCAGCAAGUAUUCGAGUGUCUUAUGCGCUUGGAAUAGUAACCUUAUUCCCUUUCUUGAAGGAUCUGAACUCCAAGAAUGGUUAUG